GAGGGGGCUUGCCCCCGAUGGCGGUGUGUCAGUUUCAGGUGUGCUGACUGAUACAACGCCAUCGGGGCAAGCCCCCUC
rnacentral:misc_RNA from 1 species